CCUACGGGAGGCAGCAGUAAGGAAUAUUGGUCAAUGGAGGCAACUCUGAACCAGCCAUGCCGCGUGCAGGAAGAAGGCCCUAUGGGUCGUAAACUGCUUUUGUACCAGAGAAAACCCGAGUACGUGUACUCGGUUGAUAGUAUGGUAAGAAUAAGCAUCGGCUAACUUCGUGCCAGCAGCCGCGGUAAGACGAAGGAUGCAAGCGUUAUCCGGAUUCAUUGGGUUUAAAGGGUGCGUAGGCGGACUGAUAAGUCAGUGGUGAAAUCUCUCGGCUUAACCGAGAAACUGCCAUUGAUACUGUUAGUCUAGAGUAUAGAUGACGUUGGCGGAAUAUGACAUGUAGUGGUGAAAUACUUAGAUAUGUCAUAGAACACCGAUUGCGAAGGCAGCUAACGAAACUAUAACUGACGCUGAGGCACGAAAGUGCGGGGAUCAAACAGGAUUAGAUACCCUGGUAGUCCGCACCGUAAACGAUGAUUACUCGUUGUUGGCAAUAUGACCGUCAGCGACCAAGCGAAAGCGAUAAGAAUCCACCUGGGGAGUACGCGGCACGGUGAAACUUAAAGGAAUUGACGGCGNGAGAGAGCGACGGACGACGACGAGGGAGGAGG
rnacentral:rRNA from 1 species